rnacentral:rRNA from 1 species
GACGAACGCUGGCGGCGUGCCUAAUACAUGCAAGUCGAGCGAACCAAUAGGAGCUUGCUCCUGUUGGUUAGCGGCGGACGGGUGAGUAACACGUGGGCAACCUGCCUGUAAGACUGGGAUAACACCGGGAAACCGGUGCUAAUACCGGAUAAUCUUUUUCCUCUCAUGAGGAAAAACUGAAAGUCGGUUUCGGCUGACACUUACAGAUGGGCCCGCGGCGCAUUAGCUAGUUGGUGAGGUAACGGCUCACCAAGGCGACGAUGCGUAGCCGACCUGAAGGGGUGAUCGGCCACACUGGGUCUGAGACACGGCCCAGACUCCUACGGGAGGCAGCAGUAGGGAAUCUUCCACAAUGGACGAAAGUCUGAUGGGGCAACGCCGCGUGAGCGAUGAAGGCCUUCGGGUCAUAAAGCUCUGUUGUUAGGGAAGAACAAGUACCGGAGUAACUGCCGGUGCCUUGACGGUACCUAACCAGAAAGCCACGGCUAACUACGUGCCAGCAGCCGCCGUAA